rnacentral:rRNA from 1 species
UACAGAGGUCCCGAGCGUUAGGCGGAAUCACUGGGCUUAAAGCGUGUGUAGGCGGAUGCCUAAGUACCUUGUGAAAUCCCACGGCUCACCCGUGGAACUGCUUGGUAUACUGGGUGUCUUGAGCCACUUAGGGGCUACCGGAACAAAUGGUGGAGCGGUGAAAUGCGUAGAUAUCAUUUGGAACGCCAAUGGUGAAAACAGGUAGCUGGGAGUGUGCUGACGCUGAGACACGAAAGCCAGGGGAGCAAACGGG